rnacentral:tRNA from 3 species
GCGGGUGUAGCUCAAUGGUAGAGCACCAGCCUUCCAAGCUGGACGUUGCGAGUUCGAGUCUCGUCGCCCGCU